GACGAACGCUGGCGGCGUGCUUAACACAUGCAAGUCGAACGGAAAGGCCCUGCUUUUGUGGGGUGCUCGAGUGGCGAACGGGUGAGUAACACGUGAGUAACCUGCCCUUGACUUUGGGAUAACUUCAGGAAACUGGGGCUAAUACCGGAUAGGAGCUCCUGCUGCAUGGUGGGGGUUGGAAAGUUUCGGCGGUUGGGGAUGGACUGGCGGCUUAUCAGCUUGUUGGUGGGGUAGUGGCUUACCAAGGCUUUGGCGGGUAGCCGGCCUGAGAGGGUGACCGGCCACAUAGGGACUGAGAUACGGCCCAGACGCCUACGGGAGGCAGCAGUGGGGAAUAUUGCACAAUGGGCGGAAGCCUGAUGCAGCAACGCCGCGUGUGGGAUGACGGCCUUCGGGGUGUAAACCGCUUUCGCCUGUGACGAAGCGUGAGUGACGGUAAUGGGUAAAGAAGCACCGGCUAACUACGUG
rnacentral:rRNA from 1 species